rnacentral:lncRNA from 1 species
AGGCAACAUAAGAGACUGUGGAUGCACAGUCUCUAGGGUCAGGAACUAGAGUUCGUCGGCCACAGGCCUAGGAGGAAGAGGAGAGUGUCUGAGACCGGAUUUGGUUGCAGGUCAUUCUAGCUGUGGGAUGUGGGACGCCACCUCAACGUGGCCUGACGAGCAGUGCCAUGUUUGUGCCCAGGAUCCGAACCCUGGGACGCUGCAGCAGAGUGUGCGAACUUAACCACUCGACCACGGAGCCAGCCCCCGGACAGAAUUUUCUUGAAACAACCAGGAUUGCAUUCUCAGAAAGAGGGACUGCAAUUCAUCUGGGCCAUGGGGCUUCCAAGGAGGCAAAAGUGACCAGAAAAACUGCUUGUCCUCUGAGCUUAUGGGGAAGACAGAGGCACCUGGCAUGCUCACAACAGAUUUCACUGCAUGCAACCAAAGAAAGGAGAUGGCUAUCAGUGCGGGACUGGACCCGCUUGUUGGAAGGGUGCAAAUGGAAAUUAGAGAGGCGGUUGUUGCAGAGUCCUUGGUGGGGCAGGCAGCUGUGGGCCUGUGGGGAGGGAGAGGCAAACUGGACAGAAGCUGGGAGCACAGGCUCUGGAGCUGACUUCCUGGGUAUAAAUCCCCCUCCACUAGUUGUGUGAUCAUGCACCAGUUAUUCACCUCGAGACAGCUGCAGAUCCCAAAUCCACUGCAGGCAGAGAUUCUGAUCUAGCAGGUCUAGGCUGGCCAGGAACCUGCAGAUUUUUCUCUUUUUUCCACAAGCAUCUUAUGGUUUGUUGUAGAUGGUCUGCAAAACACACCUUCAGAAACACUGGCUCUCAGGGAAAGGUCAUGCAGAUCAGCAAACUGGAGUGUCAGGCCUGUGUCUCCGUGACGUUUUUCAGUGUGAAAUCAUAAACUGUCAUUCAGGGUUAGACUUUAGACAUUAUACCACGCCAUGCAGAAGGCUUCAGGACAGCUGGCCAAGGAGGACAUCCGAUGGGCCUUGUCUCCCCAGAUAACCUAGGAUGCUCCCCAAGGGCAGG